rnacentral:rRNA from 1 species
AUUGAACGCUGGCGGCAGGCUUAACACAUGCAAGUCGAGCGGAGCGAGGGUGCUUGCACCUUAGCUUAGCGGCGGACGGGUGAGUAAUGCUUAGGAAUCUGCCUAUUAGUGGGGGACAACAUUCCGAAAGGGAUGCUAAUACCGCAUACGCCCUACGGGGGAAAGCAGGGGAUCUUCGGACCUUGCGCUAAUAGAUGAGCCUAAGUCGGAUUAGCUAGUUGGUGGGGUAAAGGCCUACCAAGGCGACGAUCUGUAGCGGGUCUGAGAGGAUGGUCCGCCACACUGGGACUGAGACACGGCCCAGACUCCUACGGGAGGCAGCAGUGGGGAAUAUUGGACAAUGGGCGGAAGCCUGAUCCAGCCAUGCCGCGUGUGUGAAGAAGGCCUUCGGGUUGCAAAGUACUUUCAGCGGGGAGGAAGGCGAUGUGGUUAAUAACCGCGUCGAUUGACGUUACCCGCAGAAGAAGCACCGGCUAACUCCGUGCCAGCCGCCGCGGUAA